rfam:Pseudomonas lutea strain DSM 17257 Contig002, whole genome shotgun sequence.
UGUUGAAGCCGUCUCCCCGGAGCGGUUUCUUGAUAAAAGGAAUGCCCACAUGGCACUCAGCGUUGAAGAUAAAGCUCAGAUCGUAACCGACUACCAGCAAGCUGUU